rnacentral:rRNA from 1 species
UACGUAGGGGGCGAGCGUUGUCCGGAUUUACUGGGCGUAAAGGGUGAGUAGUCGGUUAUAUAUGUCAGGUGUAAAAAGCUAUGGCUUAACCAUAGUAAGCACUUGAAACUGUAUGACUUGAGUGCAGGAGAGGUAAGCGGAAUUCCUAGUGUAGCGGUGAAAUGCGUAGAUAUUAGGAGGAACACCGGUGGCGAAGGCGGCUUACUGGACUGUAACUGACGCUGAGUCACGAAAGCGUGGGUAGCAAACAGGAUUAGAUACCCCCGUAGUCCCUGA